AUUGAACGCUGGCGGCAGGCCUAACACAUGCAAGUUCGAGCGGUAACAGGGGAAGCUUGCUUCCCGCUGACGAGCGGCGGACGGGUGAGUAAUGUAUGGGGAUCUGCCCGAUAGAGGGGGAUAACCACUGGAAACGGUGGCUAAUACCGCAUAAUCUCUUAGGAGCAAAGCAGGGGAACUUCGGUCCUUGCGCUAUCGGAUGAACCCAUAUGGGAUUAGCUAGUAGGUGGGGUAAUGGCUCACCUAGGCGACGAUCCCUAGCUGGUCUGAGA
rnacentral:rRNA from 1 species